rnacentral:rRNA from 1 species
ACCUGCGGAGGAUCAUUACCUAGAGUUGUAGGCUUUGCCUGCUAUCUCUUACCCAUGUCUUUUGAGUACCUUACGUUUCCUCGGUGGGUUCGCCCACCGAUUGGACAAACUUAAACCCUUUGCAGUUGAAAUCAGCGUCUGAAAAAACUUAAUAGUUACAACUUUCAACAACGGAUCUCUUGGUUCUGGCAUCGAUGAAGAACGCAGCGAAAUGCGAUAAGUAGUGUGAAUUGCAGAAUUCAGUGAAUCAUCGAAUCUUUGAACGCACAUUGCGCCCCUUGGUAUUCCAUGGGGCAUGCCUGUUCGAGCGUCAUUUGUACCUUCAAGCUCUGCUUGGUGUUGGGUGUUUGUCUCCUGUAGACUCGCCUUAAAACAAUUGGCAGCCGGCGUAUUGAUUUCGGAGCGCAGUACAUCUCGCGCUUUGCACUCAUAACGACGACAUCCAAAAGUACAUUUUUACACUCUUGACCUCGGAUCAGGUAGGGAUACCCGCUGAACUUAAGCAUA